rnacentral:lncRNA from 1 species
UGACAUUGGCUAAGACCCAUCCGGAAGCAACCAAGCCUUACAGAGCUGCCUCGGGGCAGGGCAGGUGGGAUACAUACAUAGGGGAGAGGCCCAUUUGUAGCUUUCCUGUCGCCUAUGGGAGAAGCUGAUGGAACUUGUAUAAAUAGUAUUUCCUGGGUUCGAAGUACCCAUCAGUUUGUUUGGUUUUUUUCCUCCCCUCUAGUCUUACACUUAGCUGAGUGGACAUGUUUUAUCCUGACUGUACCUAUGCCAAUCUGAAUGCAAAGAAAUGUAAGGAAGGGUUCACUGUUUUAUGAACCGGGAUAAAAACCAAAAGUGAAACGAAACCAAGCAAAGCCAGUAGAAGUGUUCAGAAAUCUUUUUAUUUUGUAUAACUUGACCUCCCGUGUUGCCCAUGAAUCAUCUAGAGAAAUAAAACGCAAAGCAUGGUUUCCCGAUGCCCAGUGUCCACGUGGGGGCCUUAGCACAGCUGUUUCAUUCAAACAUAAAAUGAAGUAUGUCAUAACCAUGUUUCCCUUGCAGAGCCCAUCAAAAUCUUUUACCAGAAAUGGUGAAUCAGGUGUUCUCAUGCAAAGGACAUGUGAAAACACAGACUGUAAGUUCUGAAUUCUUGGUGCCUCUGUUUAGAAAGCCCAAGUGAGAACAGUGGCUGGUCUUGACUCUGUCUUCAUCACAGGCCCCUCAGGGCUUCUAAAUACUCCGUUUUUAAAGUACGCCCUCCAUACCCCCAGGCAGCAAGGAACAGAGUGCUGUCUUACACGCAGACUUGGAGCGGACCAAUCCAUCAAAAGUUCCAUGAGUGUGUCUUAAGCGAAUUACAUCAAUGGAUUUGUUGGCACUGAGAAGAAAAAAAGGGGGGGGGGAAUACUUUCGCUUGAAGUGUUUAUUCCGCGGACUUACUUGUUUGUUUGCUGUUUGUUUAUUUAGGUCAUGCUCCCACAUAACCACCGUCUCACCCCCUUUCUAGACAAAGCCUGCCGAAUGUUCUUUCGGUGGGGACUGGCCCCCUCCUGGGCUGAUGUAAUCAAUCGGGGCAGGUAGAGGAUCAAGUCAUAUUUUCCGUGAGCUCUAGGAUACUCUUGAGGGGGCAACUUAAAGAAAGAAACGGUAUGCAUUUAGGGGGGAAGAAAGGGAAGAAAGAGUUUUUGCAACAAGUACGGCACUCGUGACUUAAAACAAAGCCAUGCUCCUGUAAAAGAGUGUUCCCGCUGAAAGCACACAUUCAGUCAUUCACCUGCCAGAGCCUCAGAUUUACUGCUGCCGUUCGCAGAUGCCAGUGCUGAAACCCUCUUCACCUGCGGACUGCUGAAUCUUCCAUUUCCUCCAUCCAAAAGUCACUGUCAAGUUGUUGUUUAGUGUCUGCAUUGUUUUUGCUUUUCCUGGCACCUAAUGAAACUAUCAGCAAUAAAUGAGCUAAG